AACGAACGCUGGCGGCAUGCUUAACACAUGCAAGUCGAACGAGACCUCCGGGCUUAGUGGCGCACGGGUGCGUAACGCGGGGGAACCUGCCCUUAGGUUCGGAAUAACUCCCUGAAAGGGGUCCUAAGACAGGUGAAUGUCUUCGCGCCAAAGAUCUCUCGCUUUUGGCUGGGGGCGCGUUGGCUUAGCCAGUUGGUAGGGUAAUAGCCUACCAAGGCGAGGAUGCAGAGCUGGUGGGAGAGGAUGCUCAGCCACGCUUGGACUGAGACACGGCCCAGAAUCCUACGGGAGGGAGCGGUGGAGAAUAUUGGACGAUGAACGCAAGCGUGAUACAGCCGUGCCGCGUAAGUGAUGAAGGGCUUAGGGUUGUAAAGCUCUUUUAGCCGGGGUGAUAGUGACAGUAACGGGAGAAUAAGCACCGGCUAACUCCGUG
rnacentral:rRNA from 1 species